GUCCCCGUGGCGUGAUCGGUUAGCGCGUUCAGCUGUUAACUGUAAAUGUUGGUGGUUUGAGCCCACCCAGGGAGG
rnacentral:tRNA from 1 species